UACGGAAGGCAGCAGUGGGGAAUAUUGCACAAUGGGCGAAAGCCUGAUGCAGCUAUGCCGCGUGUAUGAAGAAGGCCUUAGGGUUGUAAAGUACUUUCAUCGGGGAGGAAAAACAAAACUAAUAAUUUUAUUUCUUGACGUUACCCGAAAAAGAAGCACCGGCUAACUCCGUGCCAGCAGCCGCGGUAAUACGGAGGGUGCUAGUGUUAAUCAGAAUUACUGGGCGUAAAGAGCACGUAGGUGGUUUUUUAAGUCAGAUGUGAAAUCCCUGGGCUUAACCUAGGAACUGCAUUUGAAACUGAAAUACUAGAGUAUCGUAGAGGGAGGUAGAAUUCUAGGUGUAGCGGUGAAAUGCGUAGAUAUCUGGAGGAAUACCUGUGGCGAAAGCGGCCUCCUAAACGAAUACUGACACUGAGGUGCGAAAGCGUGGGGAGCAAACAGGAGUUAGAUACC
rnacentral:rRNA from 1 species